GCUUGUUUUUGUUUUCACUCGCGCUCGCGUCGCGCGCUGUCAUACUCUUUCUAGUCUUUCUCCGUCCUUCACGGCGGUUCGGCCAAGAUCGGUCGCCUGUCCCCUCUCGACAUCGCGUCGUCACGAACAAACUAGUGUCGUGUGUGUGUGUGUCUGUGUCGUAUUUAGCGGGGCAGUCGCGUACGUCGAUUGUAAUAUAUCUCAUUUGCUUCAUCAAUAUAUCCGUAAACAUCGUAUAUCGCGUCGUUUGACAUCAAACAUUAUUUAUCCAAAUUCAGAGAGUCUCGAUCGAAAAUCAGUGUAUUUGUCUUACGUUCCGCGGUAAAGUAGCGAUGUGAAGUCGCGCGAUUUAGAUUUUUCGUUUAUUAUAAAUCGAAAAAUGGCAAAAGUGCGUCGCGGGUGCAAAAAUAUAUGUCGAUAGUGCCGCGAAAAAUGCGACAAGAUAUCGUUUCGCGUUAUUAUUUAUCUAAAACGCAUCACGUAAGUGCGAUAAAUAUCCGGGCCGAAAAUGUUAACGGGCGAGGAUUGUGAUAGUGAAACAUUCGUCUCAAAAGAUGGUCAGCAACGGUCAGAGUGAAAAAAAGGCAACUACGAUGCGUCAUCGCAACUGAUGACCGUUCUACAGAGGAAUGCAGCAAUGACGAUGCAUCGAUGAAUGAAUGAUUCGAUGAGAUCCCGGAGUAUAAUAGACCUUCGUCGAAGGAUGAUGGGGACCCUUGGAACAGAAUAAUACACCUUCGUGCUGCGAAGGACAACGCGUGAUGAGAAUCCCGCUUCCAGAUCCGAGAUGAGAAACGUGAGGAGGUGCCACGAGGACUGGGUACACUCGUCGUCUCCUCUUGAUCUCUGCUGGUCCUGCUUGUCACGACGAGGAACGCGGUCAGCACACCUUUCUCGCGAUACUCCGCUCUCUCUCUUCUUUCUCUCCGGAAGUCACGACCUCUACGCCAGUAAAUGAGAGAAAGAGGGAGAGACAGAUAUCUCAACAAGGAGGAUGAACGUACUCCGAAACGUCGCUGUACUCCGAAACGACGUAGCGAGGAACGAUGCUGCAGCGGCGAGGACGGGCGUCGUUCACGUCCCCGUACGUUCGCUCGUCCGUCCUGUCUUUCUUCUACGACGCGACACGGGAACGCCGUCGGACACGGGGAAAGGCGUCGGCGGGGAUCUUCCCCGAUGCCACACUACCCGCGGAAUGAUAAUAACGAUCACUCACGCUUACCAGGACGCGGAGACGUGGCUCCGUCGUCGUGGACAAGGCUUGGACAGCGCUCUACAGGCACAAUGUAUGAUAAAGAGAAAGAGAGAGAGAGAGAGAGGCGGUGGUGUGGUGGGAGAGGGGGAAGAAGAGAGCAGAGAGAUACGACGAAUGCUUUCGAACGAGGAUUCCUCGCGAAAUGAAACGCACAUGUGAACACGCGGCACACCGGCUUCUCUGUGCACACGCUGUCUUUUUUUUUUCCUCUCACGGACGACACAUUUCCGAAAAGAGCGAGUGGCGGCGGCGGUCGCGGCUCUCUCGCCUCCUUCCUCUCGCCAACGCCUACACGAUACACAUUGCACGCAGUAGCAACGACGCCCCUACACGCUGAACGUCAGUGGUGCUCAUCGCAACGGUGUCGGCUGAAACGCUGAGAGCCCCGUUUCCAACGACGCCGGCAUCGAAUUUUAUCUUCGUAAUUUCUUUCUGGAUGCGGCAAAGCGUCGAGAAUGUUUCAGUGGAAAGACAUACUUACUCCGAUCACAUCGAGAGCAUCGUCCACGGUGAUCUCGUAGUCCUUGCCCUUCAAUCGUGUGAUCGACUGCAGACACAUUACAGCC